rnacentral:rRNA from 1 species
AGGAUAAACGUUGGCGGCGUGCCUAAUGCAUGCAAGUCGCACGGAGCUUCGGCUCAGUGGCGGACGGGUGAGUAACACGUAGGAACCUGCCCGGAAGUGGGGGAUAACUCCUCGAAAGAGGAGCUAAUACCGCAUACGGUCUACGGACCAAAGCAGCAAUGCGCUUUCGGAGGGGCCUGCGGUGGAUUAGCUAGUUGGUGGGUAAAGGCCUACAAGGCGACGAUCCAUAGCUGGUCUGAGAGGACGGCCAGCCACACUGGGACUGAGACACGGCCCAGACUCCUACGGGAGGCAGCAGCAAGGAAUUUUCCGCAAUCGACGCAAGUCGGACGGAGCAACGCCGCGUGCGGGAAGAAGGCCCUGGGUUGUAAACCGCUUUUGGUGAGGGAAGAAGAUCUGACGGUACCUCACGAAUAAGUCACGGCUAACACGUGCCAGCAGCCGC